rnacentral:rRNA from 1 species
ACGCUAGCUACAGGCUUAACACAUGCAAGUCGAGGGGCAGCAUGGAAGAAGCUUGCUUCUUCUGAUGGCGACCGGCGCACGGGUGCGUAACGCGUAUCAAACCUGCCUCAUACUCGGGGAUAGCCUUGCGAAAGUAAGAUUAAUACCCGAUGUUGUUAUGUUACCGCAUGGUGACAUAACCAAAGAUUUAUCGGUAUGAGAUGGUGAUGCGUCCGAUUAGGUAGUAGGCGGGGUAACGGCCCACCUGGCCUUCGAUCGGUAGGGGUUCUGAGAGGAAGGUCCCCCACACUGGAACUGAGACACGGUCCAGACUCCUACGGGAGGCAGCAGUGAGGAAUAUUGGUCAAUGGACGGAAGUCUGAACCAGCCAAGUAGCGUGCAGGAUGACGGCCCUCCGGGUUGUAAACUGCUUUUAGUUGGGAAUAAAAAGAGGGACGUGUCCCUCAUUGUAUGUACCUUCAGAAAAAGGACCGGCUAAUUCCGUGCCAGCAGCCGCGGUAAUACGGAAGGUCCAGACGUUAUCCGGAUUUAUUGGGUUUAAAGGGAGCGUAGGCGGAUUAUUAAGUCAGUGGUGAAAGACGGUGGCUCAACCAUCGUUAGCCAUUGAAACUGGUAGUCUUGAGUGCAGACAGGGAUGCUGGAACUCGUGGUGUAGCGGUGAAAUGCUUAGAUAUCACGAUGAACUCCGAUCGCGAAGGCAGGUGUCCGGGCUGCAACUGACGCUGAGGCUCGAAAGUGUGGGUAUCAAACAGGAUUAGAUACCCUGGUAGUCCACACAGUAAACGAUGUAUACUCGCGGUUUGCGAUACAGUGUAAGCCGCCAAGCGAAAGCAUUAAGUAUACCACCUGGGGAGUACGCCGGCAACGGUGAAACUCAAAGGAAUUGACGGGGGCCCGCACAAGCGGAGGAACAUGUGGUUU